rnacentral:rRNA from 1 species
AAAACUCUGUCCUCAAGGAAGAUAAUGACGGUACUUGAGGAGGAAGCCCCGGCUAACUACGUGCCAGCAGCCGCGGUAAUACGUAGGGGGCUAGCGGUAUCCGGAUUUACUGGGCGUAAAGGGUGCGGAGGCGGUCUUUCAAGUCAGGAGUGAAAGGCUACGGCGCAACCGUAGUAAGCUCUUGAAACUGGGAGACUUGAGUGCAGGAGAGGAGAGUGGAAUUC